CGGAGACCUCUACGGUAGUCAAUAGUUAGUAGUCAGUAGUCAGUAGUCACAGGAUAACCAGAUCAGUGUGAAUACUAGACCUAAACCUAUAGUUAUACAAGGAAAAUAUUCAGGACAUGCAGCAGAAAGCUUGGAGCAGAGAGUACAGAUUUUUACGGAUAUCUGUUUAGGGUUCAGUAGUAGUCAUGUCU